CCUACGGGAGGCAGCAGUGAGGAAUAUUGGUCAAUGGGCGCGAGCCUGAACCAGCCAAGUCGCGUGAAGGAUGACUGCCCUACGGGUUGUAAACUUCUUUUAUAAAGGAAUAAAGUGAGGCACGUGUGCCUUUUUGUAUGUACUUUAUGAAUAAGGAUCGGCUAACUCCGUGCCAGCAGCCGCGGUAAUACGGAGGAUCCGAGCGUUAUCCGGAUUUAUUGGGUUUAAAGGGGGCGUAGAUGGGUUGGUAAGUCAGUUGUGAAAGGUUGCGGCUCAACCAUAAAAGUGCAUGUGAUACUGGCAGCCGUGAGUACAGUAGAGGUAGGCGGAAUUCGUGGUGUAGCGGUGAAAUGCGUAGAUAUCACGAAGAACUCCGAUUGCGAAGGCAGCCUACUAAACUGCCACUGACAUUGAUGCACGAAAGUGUGGGUAUCAAACAGGAUUAGAUACCCUUGUAGUC
rnacentral:rRNA from 1 species